rnacentral:misc_RNA from 1 species
AAGAUUCUGACCUCCGGGUCUAACUUUUCAGCUGUGCGCUUCGGCUGCACGCUGAUUAUAACCUUACACACCUGUGCACAUUUCGGUCGCGGGCCUGCACGCAGGUCUUGCUUCCGCUUUCACAUACAACCACAUGUCUUGAAUGUAAUAAACUAUAAAAGUAA